GUUGGCUUUACACCUAAAUGGAACAGAGGAAUUGUGAAUGUCAUUCGUCACACCUGUGUCUAAAGGCCAGGCAUUCAGAUGCUCAACAGCUCAUGACUGCACCUAUUCUGCCGCCUCUGGGAGGAAGGAUUUGGGUUCAGCUUUUAGUCGUCUCCCUGACGGCCCCAUGUGUUAAUACUGCUGUCGUGUCCUGGGGAGAGAGAAGGCUAAUUAUCGACUGCUCAGUCUUCCUGCCAGUCCCCCUUGGAGAGCCCUACACUGUUAAUUGGACGACAACUCCAAAGGGAGCUGAACUGUGGAUGAGACCGACCUUUACCUCAUGUAAACAGCAUUACAUAUCAAAAGAAAUUUUUUAUUUUUCAUUUCCCCAAUUGCGCCUCCAUUUCACAACAAUACUUCAUUAUAUCUGAAUCAGUUAAGGAAAAUUCUCUGAAAUAAAUGUAAAUAACCUCUUGUUAAGACACACUUUAAGCUAGGUGGGUUAAGUGACAUUGACCUUACACUUUGUCUGGUUCAAAUAGAUUUCAAAGUGCAAUUAUUUGGGUUUUAACAAUAUAAAGUAAUCAUUCUUCUAAAUAUUAGAUAUUCGACUAUUACAAAAAGAGACUACAGGCAUGCGAGCAGAUCUGUGAAACUACAAUUAGGCACAGAGGUUCUUUAUACUAAAUACAUGCCCAUAAUGAUGUGUUUACAUGCUGAGGUUUAGCAGGUAUAAUGUUCAAAGUCUUAUCUGUACAAAAUUUAAUGACAAUCCACACAAUAGUUGUUGUGUCAGGACCAAAGAGGUUGACCCACAAGCUGACAUUCCCAUCCACAGAUCCAUGUCAGUGGCGUGGAUAAUUAUUUUAUUUAUUUUAUGUUGUAUUCAGCCUCUUUGCUUCCUUUACAGCACUUUGUGUAACACUACCUGGCUUGCGCAUUGAUUACAGCGGAGACAAAAUGCAUUCAUUACAUAAUGCUUAAAUGCGCGUAUGUGGUGUAGCUGGACAUCAUGACACCCAUACAUUUUUUUUGGGCUGCACUUUGUGAUCACUGAGUUUCAGUAGUUUUAAUGAUGUUUGGACAUUUUUAUUGAUGUAGUUUUGGUAAAUGUGAUCGCCUGUCCUUGAAGCAGAUGGUUGUCUGGAGGUUAAAUGCCUUUGCCGACAUCCUCCGCCGUGACAGCACUCUAAUCCUGCUGCUCAUUCAUUGGUUUUAAACUGCACGUCCGUGUGGCAUCUGACACAGAGUUCUAAUUUGUGUACAAGAAAAUGUGACCAUGAAAGUAAUGAACAAAUAUA